CGUCUCCUGCCCAGUUCCAAUUGGCAGGCUGGCUGUUACAGGCACUGGGAUGGCAGAGCUGGAACUGAGGGCGAGAGGCGUGUUGCCCUCCGCAGGUUCUUAGAGCAUAUACUUUUUCUGCGAGUUUUAUUGCUUUUCCCGAAGGGGUCGAAUAGCUGUCCUAGUUAGUGGCGAGGUUUGGCGCCGUCGCUGGCUGUGCCUGGUGACGGCGUUUCACUCUUGUUCAGCUCUCGCUCAGUCUGGAUCGUGUGGCAGCGCACGGUUAUUCGCACAAAUGCAUGCAGUUCAUGUCCAGGGAGAGGUCUCUGAGUUUGCUGUCUCUCCCUGGAGAGUAACCUGUGUCAGGGAGCCUGGGCUUGUGUAUCGCUUGUGUGACAACACAGGUGGUGUUUGGGUACGUUUGAUCUCCUUGAGCCUUUGGGCGGAGUUGUGCGUGGUGGGAUAUUGAUCUGAGUGGAUUUUGUGAGGCAUAGUACAGAGCCCCUAGGAUGCGUGUGCCUGUAUUCCAGGGUGUCCAUUUUUGGACCUUUCUGGCAUUUCAGUCCUUGGGUGUGACUCUCUGUGUAGGCGUGUGCACUUGAGAUUGUGAGAGCUCUGAGUUUUUGAUUCUGGGCUCUGAGUUUCGAUGUCUCUGAGCUGCUUCAAGGAUGGGUUUGUCUAAAGGUGUAAACUAUCAGCUGCUUGGGGAUCUGUGCACAGGGUGCAGGAUUUCCAUUUGUCUGGGGACUUUAUCUAAAGGUUUUAUGAUGUUCUUGAGUUAUUAAAAGUUCUGUCUUUUCGUUAGGGUUUUCGUAUUAGAUUGGUAAGUGUCGAGUGGUUUGGGAGUCAGUCUCCAUAAUGUGAAGUAUCUGUGCAGCUCUCAUUUGUUUCUGCCUUGAAGACUUUGGUCUGUUUGGAGGGUCUUUGUCACAGUGUGUAUGGUUAUGGUCUCAGUUGUGUUUGAGGGUCUGAGACGAGUUGUGUGCUUUCUGUGCAGAGAUUCAGUGAGUUCUUUUUGGUGUCUCUGGGUAUCUAUCUGAGCUGCUCGGAGUCUUUGUGUCAGAAAUAAAACCUCUUAUGUUCUUGGCUGUGAGGUCUCUGUCCUGGAACUGAAGGUUUGGAAGCUGGCAAACAUGAUUCCGAGGCCUGGGACCUGCCUGACAUGCUGACUGUGUGUUGAGUGUAUCAGUUGUCUCCUGGAAUCUCAGUAUGUAUCAUAAUUAACACAGUGGGGCCAGUGCGCAUCGUGCAGGAUACCUGUGCAUAGUAGCGCCGUGUGCAAAAGGCCUGGCUUCAGACUAUCCUUCAGUAAGUGUUUUCUGAGCACCUGCCAUAUACCUGAGCACUAUUGGAGGAGUUUGUGACAGGACAGAACUGACCACGUCUCUACUUUCAUAGACGUGGUGGUCAGUAAAUAAAUCAAGGGUGGCAGGCACCAAGAAGAAAGAUAAUGCUAGAUCAGGGGAAAGGGUAUAUGUAGGUAUGAUGUUAUUAUUUUAGUCAAGGUAAUGAGGGAAAGUCUCCCUGAAAGAUGACAAGUAAGCAGAGAUCUGGAGGAAGUGAGGGAGCAGGCCGUGGGGUUAUCUAAGGAAAGAGCAUUCCAGGCAGAAGCGAAUGCAACUGCCCUGGCAUGGAAACCUACUUGGCGUGCUCCUGAAUGUCAAGGAGUCCUGUGAUGCACUGGGUUUGGCAUGUAGCACCCAUUGAAAGGGGUCUGGUUGCUGCUGUCUCUGUGUCUCCCACAACUUUUGAUCAUCCGCAUUUCACAGAUGAAGGACUGAAGGCUCCAACAUGUGCCCUGCACCUUCUCUCCUACCUAUCCCUGAAAUUAGGAGUGAAGCCUUCUGGUCCAUCAUGAGAGAGAGAGAGAGUGUGAGUGUCCCAGCUGCAGGGAUGUCACGCUGAAUGUCAGCCAAGCAGCAGAGAUCAGUUAUACUGUGGGAAUCGUGCCUCAUAACAUUGGUACUCUUGAUGGAGGGAAGGACUUAAAAGAAAAAGGAACUGGGGCAAAGGACAGAGGCAGCAAGGGAAAUUGGAGGACAGUGAGGGGAAAAAACAAAAAAGACUGGCUUCAUCACAUUGCCUGGGUUUGGCCCAGUUCACGUUGAUUGGCUGACGGUAUUAGGACAUAUUGACCUUUUCCUGUCCCUACCCUUUCUUUCCCGUCCCUUGUUUUGUGACUAAGCAAGUCAGUCCUAAAGCCAUUAGGUGUUGCCAGGCAAGGCAUGUGUAUGUGUAAAGGGACAUCCUUGCCUGGAGAGUCAGAGCCCAAGGUGGAAAGAAGGAUAUCCCUGGGGAUUGGGUGGGAAGGAGACUCACUGUUUCAUGGAUUCAAGCUUGAGCGAGAUGUGGAAGACCAGGGCAAGGGAUGGUUCUGCACAGACUUAGGAGGACAUUUUUGUGGCGGAAAGAUCAUUUAUACGCAUUGACAUUCAUCAGCUCGGCAAAUAGUUACAGAGUGGGAGCCAGAAUCCGGUGAAUGGCAGAGAUGUGCAGCACGUCAAAUUCUAGGCCGGAGACCGAGCCUUAGGAACCAACAGGCCAGAGAAUCCUGGAUGGGAGUUGGCUUAAACACAGUGGCCAAAUAACAAAUCUGAAUGUACCUGUAGCAAGCAACGAUACUGAACCAUUCAUUUAAAGACCUUCCCACAAAGGGAAGUCCUGGGCCUCCUGGUUUCUUCAGUGAAAUCUGUCAAAUGUUUAAAGAAGAAAUAGCACCCAUCCUUCACAGAUUCUUCCUGAAUAGACAGAACGGAGGAGGGAUCGUUUCCUAAUUCAUCCUAUAAGCCCAGUAUUACCCCAGUACCAAAGCCAGACUUGCCAUCACCAGAAAGCUGCAGACCCAUAUCUGUCAAAAAUAGCAAUGCAUACACCCUCAACCCCGUAUGUGCAAACCAAAUCGACAAACAUUUUGCAAAGGGCUGUGUAAGAUCUUUCCCAGGAUUGCAGUAUUGGACCAACACUCACCUUCAGUUUUGGAAAACAGCGUAUUGAUACAAUGAAGGACGGAAACCACCUGUCAUCUUGACAGACAAAGAAAGAAAAAGCAUUUGACACAGUUAAAGACCCAUUCAUGACAAAUAAGUAAAUAACUAAAUCAAUAAACAUUGUCAACCAUAUCAGGAUAGAAGGGAUCGUCGUGGCGGUGCUGAAGAACAUCCCCGAGAAACAUCCAGCUCUCGUCACAUCAAAGGAAUUCCGUCCAUCCACCUUCUGCCACCAGGACUGAGGUGCGUUCCCUCCCCUCCAUCUGCCUGAGUGUCUGGUAAGGAAGGGGACUUGGGGGCGUAACACACCACUGAGUCAUUGAAAUUGUUCUAAUAAUGGCUGUUAAUAAAUAUGUCAAAAUACCUCUCAGAAGGGAAGACACAUAAUUAUAAAAAAAAAUUUAAUGUCUUCAGUAGCAAACAUGGCUCUUCAGUUCAGGAUUCUAUUUAAAAGCAGGAAGGGGGAAGCAUCAUGUGAUUUGUGCUUCUCAACCUAAACUGUGCAUCAAAUCUCAACUGGAGAGGCUUUAGGAGAGCCGAUGCUGGCAGGACAGCCCCAGAGAGUCUGAAGUAGUACGUCUGGAAUGUGGCACUGGCGUGAGCAUUAUCUGAAAAAGUUCUCUUCUGAAAGCCGAGCUUGCAGCUGUGGAAAGAGAACCCAUCCUUACAGGAGGAAAUCGAAGAUCAAAAAUAUGCGACUCCUCUCUACAGCGAAAGCAGCUUUUCAUCAUCACUUGCUAUGCUUGACAGACAUCUUAGGCUGAGGAAAGGGACAAGUUGCCCAAAUUAAUACUAGUUUGAAAACUGACCUUGUGCUUGCUCUGCUGCAUGUUCCUGAAUCCAAAGUGUUACAGUUAACACCCUGCUGUUGUUAGUAAAACUCAGUAUCUUUUAGUUCUUUUCAGCAUCCCUUGUACCUAGUUAGUUGAAUACAUUUCUAAAACACUGUGGAGAUAACUUCAUUCGACAGAUCAGAAUAGUGCAUCAAAGAUUAAAGAUGGCUGAGAAUUGUA